GGGAAGAUGGCGGACGGGAAGGCGGGAGAGGAGAAGCCCGAGAAGCCGCAGCGAGCCGGAGCCGCCGGAGUAAUGGAGGGGAAAGUUCCAGUCGCAGCGCUGAAAAGCGAUCAGCUGAAGACGAAGCUGCAGACCUCCCAACAAAGCCUACAAAGAUGUCCAAGUUUGGAUUUGCCAUAGGUAGUCAGACAGCAAGGAAAGCAUCCGCCAUCUCCAUUAGACUCGGAGCAAGUAAGCCUAAGGAAACAGUUCCAACUCUUGCUCCAAAAACUCUUUCAGUAGCAGCAGCUUUCAAUGAAGAUGAAGAUAGUGAGCCGGAAGAAAUGCCUCCAGAAGCGAAGAUGAGGAUGAAGAACAUCGGAAGGGACACGCCAACAUCAGCCGGACCAAACUCCUUUAAUAAAGGAAAGCAUGGCUUUUCCGAUAACCAGAAGCUGUGGGAGCGAAAUAUCAAAUCUCAUCUUGGAAACGUCCACGACCAAGACAAUUAAGAGAAGUGUUCUGAGAUUGGGGUGUGGGCGGGUGCAUUAGAAGGAGCAGUCAGCCUCCUUUUUGUAAAGAAUGGUGUAAGACUAGCUUUGGAGCCGUUUUUCUUUCUUCUUUUUUCUUUUCCUUUUUUCUUUUUUUUUUUUUAAGAUUGAGUGGUACACUAAUAAAUGAGAGUUUGCAAUUAGAGGUAAUUUAUGUUUUAUAUACAGAUUUCAAGACAUUUGCUAAUUUUGUAGUUUCACAUGAUUAGUUUC
rnacentral:lncRNA from 1 species